rnacentral:rRNA from 1 species
AACGAACGCUGGCGGCAGGCUUAACACAUGCAAGUCGAACGAGAUCUUCGGAUCUAGUGGCAGACGGGUGAGGAACACGUGGGAACAUCCCUUUUAGUUCGGAAUAACGUUGGGAAACUAACGCUAAUACAGGAUACGUCCUUCGGGAGAAAGAUUUAUCGCUGAAAGAUUGGCCCGCGUCUGAUUAGCUAGUUGGUGAGGUAAUGGCUCACCAAGGCUACGAUCAGUAGCUGAUCUGAGAGGAUGAUCAGCCACAUUGGGACUGAGACACGGCCCAAACUCCUACGGGAGGCAGCAGUGGGGAAUAUUGGACAAUGGGCGCAAGCCUGAUCCAGCCAUGCCGCGUGAGUGAUGACGGCCUUCGGGUUGUAAAGCUCUUUUGUCUGGGAAGAUAAUGACUGUACCGGAAGAAUAAGCCCCGGCAAACUUCGUGCCAGCCGCCGCCGUAA